AUACGUAGGUGGCAAGCGUUGUCCGGAUUUACUGGGUGUAAAGGGCGUGUAGGCGGAGAUGCAAGUCAGGAGUGAAAUCUAGGGGCUCAACCCCUAAACUGCUUUUGAAACUGUAUCCCUUGAGUAUCGGAGAGGCAGGCGGAAUUCCUAGUGUAGCGGUGAAAUGCGUAGAUAUUAGGAGGAACACCAGUGGCGAAGGCGGCCUGCUGGACGACAACUGACGCUGAGGCGCGAAAGCGUGGGGAGCAAACAGGAUCAGAUACCCUGGUAGUCCACGCUGUAAACGAUGAAUACUAGGUGUGGGGGGACUGACCCCCUCCGUGCCGCAGUUAACACAAUAAGUAUUCCACCUGGGGAGUACGAUCGCAAGAUUGAAACUCAAAUGAAUUGGCGGGG
rnacentral:rRNA from 1 species